GACGAACGCUGGCGGCGUGCUUAACACAUGCAAGUCGAACGCUGAAGCUCAGCUUGCUGGGUGGAUGAGUGGCGAACGGGUGAGUAACACGUGAGUAACCUGCCCUCUUCUUUGGGAUAACGCCCGGAAACGGGUGCUAAUACUGGAUAUUCACUGAUUCUCGCAUGGGGGUUGGUGGAAAGGUUUUUUCUGGUGGGGGAUGGGCUCGCGGCCUAUCAGCUUGUUGGUGGGGUGAUGGCCUACCAAGGCUUUGACGGGUAGCCGGCCUGAGAGGGUGACCGGUCACAUUGGGAAUGAGAUACGGCCCAGACUCCUACGGGAGGCAGCAGUGGGGAAUAUUGCACAAUGGGCGAAAGCCUGAUGCAGCGACGCCGCGUGAGGGAUGGAGGCCUUCGGGUUGUAAACCUCUUUCGCUCAUGGUCAAGCCGCAGCUUUGGGUUGUGGUGAGGGUAGUGGGUAAAGAAGCGCCGGCUAACUACGUG
rnacentral:rRNA from 1 species